GAUGAACGCUGGCGGCGUGCCUAAUACAUGCAAGUCGAGCGAUGAACCCGGAGCUUGCUCCGGUGGAUUAGUGGCGAACGGGUGAGUAACACGUGAGUAACCUGCCCUUGACUCUGGGAUAACUGCGGGAAACUGUAGCUAAUACCGGAUACGACCCUCGGCGGCAUCGCCAGGGGGUGGAAAGAAUUUCGGUCAAGGAUGGACUCGCGGCCUAUCAGCUAGUUGGUGAGGUAACGGCUCACCAAGGCGACGACGGGCAGCCGGCCUGAGAGGGUGACCGGCCACACUGGGACUGAGACACGGCCCAGACUCCUACGGGAGGCAGCAGUGGGGAAUAUUGCACAAUGGGCGAAAGCCUGAUGCAGCAACGCCGCGUGAGGGAUGAAGGCCUUCGGGUUGUAAACCUCUUUUAGCAGGGAAGAAGCGAAAGUGACGGUACCUGCAGAAAAAGCACCGGCUAACUACGUGCCAGCCGCCGCAGUAA
rnacentral:rRNA from 1 species